UACGUAGGGUGCGAGCGUUAAUCGGAAUUACUGGGCGUAAAGCGUGCGCAGGCGGUUUUUGUAAGCCAGAUGUGAAAUCCCCGGGCUUAACCUGGGAAUGGCAUUUGGGACUGCAGCGCUUGGAGUAUGGCAGAGGGGGGUGGAAUUCCACGUGUAGCAGUGAAAUGCGUAGAGAUGUGGAGGAACACCGAUGGCGAAGGCAGCCCCCUGGGUCAAGAUUGACGCUCAUGCACGAAAGCGUGGGGAGCAAACAG
rnacentral:rRNA from 1 species